UAAACCAAAACAGGACCAAAUAGGCCAUGACUGAAGUUCAAGUGCAUUCUGCAAGACAGUGGACAGCCUAGAUUUUGUUCUUUUCAAGGUUGAGAAGGGAUGCCAUAUUUUAGGUUUGAAACCAGGCAAGUGAAAGCUGAAUUCCAACCUACUUCAACAUACUUGUACCCACUGUCUUCAAGAUAUCAGUGUUUGAGAUGUCAAAGUUCAAAUAUAAUAGGAACAUGUUUAUCAUAUUAUGUGAUGGCAUCCUCAAAUCUUAUGCUGUAUAACAAUAUGUUUUAGAACUUAUCAAGCUUUAUCCUGUACCUUG